GCAAGUGUGGUGUAGUGGUUUGAGCAUUGGACUAGGACUCUGGAGAGCAGGGUUCAAAUCCCCGCUCGGGCA